UGGGGGUUGGCUGCCUGGAUAUAUUGCAUAGGGUCAAGUGGAGCAUUUACAGGGACGCAAAAGCUGUUUAGGUUUCAGUUUUCUGAUAUGGCAGCCUGGGGAAGGAGUGUUCCAUCUUGGGCCUAGAAAUUUAUUCAACACGUGAAAAAUGUUAAACUUCUGUGUGAGCUGGAAGAGCAUUCAAUAGAACACUUCAUGCCCUGGGGAAGCCCGGAGACUGGAUGCUGAAUGAAACUGUGAAGGCGCCCUGCUGAACAUGGACAUCUGUAUUGGGUUUUGUGAAACAGACAUUCAUCAUAAACCUACGGAAAGUGCAUGUUAGUUAAAGCAAUGAAAAAGCAAAUGAUGUCUGGAAAGGAAGAGAAAGGAGAAAACAUCCAAAAAGGAUAAAGAGAUUUUAAGAUUACUUAUCGCUCUGUUUCCCUUUCAUAACACCACUGUGACAGACUGCAAUGAUCUGCUUCAUUAUCUGCAUGCUCCUACUCCCCCUAGACUCUGACCUCUUUGAGAGUGUGGCUGACAUGAGGAGAAGAGACUAUAUUCACUCUCCAGAAGAUAAAAAAGGGCUAAUGAACAUCAACUUUGAACAGACAGAUCCCAUGCAGGAACUCCUCUGUGAAGUCUUGGUUGGAGCCCUUCCACCUCCUGACCUGUCACAUCAGUAAAUCAACCUCCCCCAGGUUGACAAAAAUCAAUACUUUCUCUCACAGAAUUCUGACUUUCCAAGCCCCGUUCGGGUUCAUGUGAAAUGUGGACAGCACAUAGAGGACAGGAGCUGUUACUUUAUCUUCCAGAGCUCUUUCUUGUCUUCAUCCAAGCAGAAGCUAAUCCUAGAAGUAUUAUAAGAAACAAUCAUUUUGAAAUUAAUUAGUUUUGGAUUUUUUGAUGGAGUGAGUGUAAUUUUUAAAAAUAAUUCACUGUGUCAUUAACAUCCAGCUUCAAUCAAACUACUAUUAAAAUAAAA